rnacentral:misc_RNA from 1 species
AACGCACGAGACCUGCGGACCUGCGGAGGGAUCAUUACAGGACUCGCAAGACUCCUACAACCCUGUGAACUUAACUAUAAGCACGUUGCUUCGGCGGGUGUCUCGGCGAGGGUUCUCCCUCCCCGGGGCGCUAAGCCCGCCGGCAGCCUACUAUACUCUGUCUCUUUGCGUUGGCAUCUCGAGUACAAACAAACAAGUUAAAACUUUCAACAAUGGAUCUCUAGAUCGGAAGAGCACACG